rnacentral:ncRNA from 2 species
AUGGAUCAUGGUCUCCGAGCCAUCUCUCCUAAGGCCCCUCAAGGGCUAAGGGGACUGGCCGAUAGGGCCUGGCUGGAAACGGCCCGGCCUCCCGAUGGAAAGGAGAUUGAACCAACCAA